AUCAUUAGGGCCGGUAAACCUCGUGCCAGCCACCGCGGUUAUACGAGGGGCCCAAAACAGCAGAUACCGGCGUAAAUUGUGACUAGAGCACCUACUUAUUAAUAGUGAGAAGUAAACAAAAGCCCGACCGUAAAACCUGGGCCAAAAGAAACACACCUUCCCAAUUAUAAAGUAACUUGAACCCACGAAGACUAAGAAACAAACUAGGAUUAGAUACCCUACUAUGCUUAGUUGUUAAUACGACAUCAAAAAACACUGAUGUCCGCCAGAGAAUUACACGCGAAAAGCUUAAAACUCAAAGGACUUGGCGGUGCUCCGUAUUCGUCUUAGAGGAGCCUGUCCUAUAAUCGAUAACCCACGCUUUACCUCACCAUCUUUUGUUAAAAUCAGCCUAUAUACCGCCGUCGCAAACUUACCCCAUGAGGGCACAACAGUAAGUAAAAGAGUAACACACUAACACGUCAGGUCAAGGUGUAGCUAAUAAGAUGGAAGAGAUGGGCUACAUUUUCUAAAACAGAACACACGGCAAAGGACAUUGAAAUAAAUGCCCUCAAAGGUGGAUUUAAUAGUAAGAUAGAAGAGAAAGUCUAUCUAAAACCCGCUCCGGAGCGCGCACACACCGCCCGUCACCCUC
rnacentral:rRNA from 1 species